GCUGCAGUCGAACGUAUCCCGUGGGGGCAACUCUGCGGGGAAAGUGGCGAAAGGGGCAGUAAGGCGUGGGUAACUUGCCUCGGGGCCUGGAAUAGCCGUCCUAACGGACGGGUAAUACCAGACGCCCUACCGUGAUGGCAUCUUCGUGGUAGGAAAGCUCAGGCACCCCGGGAGAGGCUCACGUGGUAUUAGCUAGUUGGUGGGGUAACGGCCUACCAAGGCAAAGAUGCCUAGCAGGUGUGAGAGCACGACCUGCGCCACUGGCACUGAGACACUGGCCAGACUCCUACGGGAGGCUGCAGUCGAGGAUCUUCGGCAAUGGGCGCAAGCCUGACCGAGCGACGCCGCGUGUGCGAUGAAGGCCUUCGGGUUGUAAAGCACUGUCGGGGGGAAGAAAAGCCCGCAAGGGCUUGAUCGACCUCCGGAGGAAGCACGGGCUAAGUUCGUGCCAGCAGCCGCGGUAAGACGAACCGUGCGAACGUUAUUCGGAAUCACUGGGCUUAAAGGGCGCGUAGGCGGGCUCGCCAGUCAGGGGUGAAAGCCCACAGCUCAACUGUGGAAGUGCCUUUGAUACUGCGAGCCUCGAGGGAGGUAGGGGCGUGCGGAACUUCCGGUGGAGCGGUGAAAUGCGUAAUAUCGGAAGGAACGCCGGUGGCGAAAGCGGCGCACUGGACCUCUUCUGACGCUGAGGCGCGAAAGCCAGGGGAGCAAACGGGAUUAGAUAUGUAUUGUGUCCCCCACCCGGGCAACUGGGUGGUGUGCAUCCGGCUGUAUCGGGGGAACUCUCGGAUGGAACCCGCACGCAGCAAAGGGAUUCUUCAACCCAGACAAUCCCGACGGAAGUCGUGCUCGCAGACACUGACCCGCUAGAACUAUACGCCGAACCCCGCA
rnacentral:rRNA from 1 species